GUCACAGAGCUGCACACCGUGCCCCCUCACGCCUUCCCUUUGUUGCUUUGCUGAAACUCCCAACUCCAGGAGCUGACUUUGGAGCGUCUGAGGGCCCUGUGAGUCUCCCGGCUGCCAGGAAGUGCAGGCGCUCUUUUGCAGUGAGAUGUGGCCUAAAAUCCUUGCACACGGAGCAGAGUCCAGAAAGAAAGCAUCAGAGCACAGAGCUGCCUGGCAGAGUCAACCUUGAAGGAGCUGGUGUGUGCUUCCUGUCACGGCAGGUGGCUGGGGCAGUGAGGAAGACACACGCUGGCCAGACGUGCUCAAGCGUGCGUGAGCUUAGCGUUGCACUGAACUGGCUCUGAGUUCCCCUCUCCAUGUCUGCCUCUGUUGCAGACUUCGUGAGAAGGGUGGCCCCUCCCACACCUGGCUCUGGAUCUAUCCACCUGUCCACAUGCUUGAUGGAGCCCUUGUGGAUCGGCUAGUCUUGGUCACCAUCCUGCUCUGUACUGCCUAUGAUGAUAUAAAAGAGAAAAAAUGAUUUGCAGAGGCAAACAGAAGAUAAGUCCAAAUGCAAAACCAGAAUAUAGAAGAACAGAACAGUUCCCAGGGCACUUGAGGAUCACUCCUGGAUCAACUUUUCACCUGUGAUUGGCAGCCCUAUUUUCUUCUGCUUCCAUCCUCCAUCCACCCACAGAAAACCAAAUAUUUAACAGUCAAGUUGUUACAAGAAUGCAUGGAAUCUCCAACAAUUUUUAAAAGAAUACGUGGAAAGCCUAAAAGGAGAACACCUUUUUAUCUUGAUGGCCUCUGGAUAACCAUCUACUCUGAGAUUCCCUG